rnacentral:lncRNA from 1 species
GAUCGAUGGCCGGAGGGACCGACCGACCGACUGACGGCCGGACCGACCGACCGACUGACCGACGGCCGGAGGGACCGACCGACCGACUGACGGCCGAAGCGACCGACCGACGGGUGCCAUCACCGGCCGAUUAACGGCCCACAGCCGACUGAGGAUGUGUCGGUCGGGCAUACUUUUUCUGACCGACUGAACCUAGAAGUCUGAUGGCCGACUCACGUAAGACUCGCC